UUGCUGGGAAUUGAACUCAGGACCUCCGAAAGAGCAGCCAGUUCUCUUAAGUGCUGAACCAUCUCUCUAGCCUUUAGGUGCAUUUCGUUUUUCUUCAAUCAUUUCUGUCUCAAAUUGAUACCUGAAGACUCUGAAAGUUUGAUAGACCUUCAUGGUGAUCAGGGUUACUGUCUUAUUGUAUUGUUUUGGUGUAUAAUUAAAGCAGGCUAUGCAAGGGCUGUGUUUUUAUUUUCUCAUCUCCCAUACAUACACGUGGGGUUGGCAGGAUCCCACCUGCCCCUAAUUGGCUGUGUUUACACUCUGCACAAACUGGUGUCUGCCCUCUGUGGAGGUCACAGCAGGCCUCUCUUCUAGACCUUUCAGGAAUACCAUUGUGUUGACUUGGAGUUUUAUCAUUACAGUGUUGCCAUGUGUGCUACUAAUCAUGUAAUAUUUGAUAAAGUGAGUUGUGAGAAAAUGGAAGUCAUUAAGGAAGCCGUAGACAUUCAAAUCAUGACCCUGGGUGUUUAUUUAAUUUGCCCCGGGGAUAUGCAAUAACAUUUGAAGCUACUGCCAGAAGAGUUACGUGUUUGUCCUCAAAGUUUGUAUUCUGCCCCCCCCCCCUUCUUGCUUGCUGGGAAUGCACAGUUCACUCGGUAGCAAUGGUCCAGUCCACGCUUUGAAUAGCGCCAGUGUCUCUUAUUGUUGUCAUUGUGACUUCUUGUGUAAUCCAAAGCGGGAAUCUUAUUUAUGUAUUUAUCUCACUUCCUGUCCCCUUCCUUCAACCUCAGAUUAAGUUGAUAAUUCUUGUUUUGUUUUUUGUUUUUUCCUCUUCCCCCUUUUUGCCUCCUUAAAUAAUAUCGAAUAGUGCUCAGCACUGGAAACUGUUAGAUGAUGAAGAUGUUCAAAGUAUAUGAUUAAGAAAAUCCCUUAUCCCUUCAAAACCUCCCAGUGAGUGUGUAUAGAUAGUACUGUUUGGAAGUUGUUUUUGAAACUUUCCCAUAGUGGGUUCUCAGCCUGUGGGUCUCCGACCUCUGCACAUCUGUCACGUAUCAGAGAUUUACAUAAAAGUAGCACAAUUACAGCUAUGAAGUAGCAAUAAAAUAAUUUUACGAUGGGGGGGGGUCACCACCACAACAUGAGGACUUGUAUUAAAGGGUUUGCAGCGUUAGGAAAGUUGAGAGCCAUUGCCCUAAGUUAUCAUCUCUGCUUAGCUUGUUUGGAAGGGAUGAGUUAAUGAGCAAACUUUCCCCCAGGUGUCUGGAGUCAAGGGAAGAGCAGGGAUAUCUUGUUUUUCCUUCACAGGAUUCCUUUGCUGUUUCAUUGGAGCCCAGGGAAGAGGGGGGAAUGGAGCUAGAGCUGCUUCAAAGAACUUGCAGCUGAGAAAUGAAGGAAAACAGAUAAAUGGCUGCCUGGGCUAGACAGCAGGCACCAGGAAGUAGAGCGUCUGACUUGGCGAUGCGAGUUUUCAAGGUGCUCCCCUGAGCGCUGGACAUCAGGUCACGUCACAGCAUCUCUGGGGCUUGUCACUAGCAGGAGUAGGUUCCGUUUCCUAGGACCUCAACCCUAGUUCUCAGGAGGAGAAGGAGGGCAUUUGUGGCUCACGAGAUGAAGUCCUGUGUCAAGGCGGGCUGCUUUUGCUCCUAUCCUCACCCGCUCAUGGGUCUUCUCAGAGAGUCUACAAAUCCAUUGAUUCACAUGCGAUCGGCAAUAAGCUAUCAGCCGCCAUCGGGAUUAUGAAUCGGUGUGCUGUCCUCGGUUAGAGAAUUGAGUGUGCCACAGAACACCUGAUGUUAACAGCCUUAGAAGAGUCCGAGACGACUGGUUUUUCGCAGAGAACCUGAGUUCAGUUCUUGGCACCCACAAUGGUUCAUGAUCACCUAUAACUUCAGCUUGUGUGGAUCUGGUACUCUCUUCUGGCAACUAUACUCACGUGCACAUGGCUCCCUCCAUAUACACAAAGAGUCUUGUUUUAAGAUUUUCCCUCCUGAUUAAAGAGUUUUUGGACCUUAAGUUUCCCUUACUGGCAAGAAAUUUAAUGCACAUAGAGGAAGGAAGAGUACAUGUCCUUUUCUCACAAAAAUGGAUACUCCCAGAAGCCAGUGCAGUUUCCUCUACUUGAAAGAGAGACUUGGGAACCACACCAGAAUCAGAGAAGAUGUCUAUGAACCCAGCGCCUGAUGGAAAUCACUCCAUGUUUCUCUAAUAAAAGUGACUUCACUCACCUUAGAGUUUAAGGUUCUUUUCCAAUGUGUCCCACCCCUCGCCAUUUUAUAAGAUUCUGAGAUUAACUGUCAGGCAAAGCCAGCGUCUGUUAUGAUUCACAGACAGACCACGAUGCUGCAAAGUGCGGAUGACAACCAUAUGCCUGUGGAAUCCCCGGGGGAUAUCUCACUUCACCACGGACACUAGAUGGAUUCGUUUUUUUAAGACGCUGAUUUUGCCGUCGGGCCUACCAGAACCAGACUUGCCGUUAUGGCUUCAGAUUUUUUCUGCUUUCUCGCUUCUCCCUUCUUUCAAAGAUCAGGGCAGUCAUUCCUCCCCUGGAGUGUCCUCCCUUCCCAUGCCCACUUGCUGCAGCUCUUGCCUCACAUCAACUCAACGCAGUGAGUUCUGCAGGGACCACAUGCAUGCCUUCCCUCAUUCUUGGUUUAGAUGCCCAGUCAAGAAGGUUAGUGAGGGUAGGACACCUCCAUUCCCAUAUGGGACUCCUCCCUCUGGGCCACUUCUCUUGGCCAACCCUAGAAAGUAGAUCCAUCUUACUUGCAGGGAAAAAAGAAAAAAAAUAUGACUAUGGGAGAUGCUUGACAGGCAUGCCCGUCCUAUGACCUGUGGCUCACAGGCAGCUCAGAUAGCUGUGAGCACCGCCCAGCGUGUUUGUUGAUGAUGGUGAUGUGUAACGCAGUGAAGAUUGGAGACCCCCAUCAAGCCCUUGAAGAACAUACAGUAAACUCUCAGGAGCUUACAAAUGAUAGGAUGUUAUUCUCAUCAUCUGAAGCAGGCAUUCUCAACCUGUGGGUUGUGACCCCUUUCCGGGUUCAAACAACCCUUGUGUGGAGGCCACAUAUCAGAUAUUUUCAUUAUGAUUCAUAACAAUAGCAAGG